GUGCUUGCUUUGGCAGCACAAAUACUAAAAUUGGAAUGAUACAGAGAAGAUUAGCAUGGCCAUAUUUUUAAAAUACAAUCAAAGAGAGAAAGAAAUGAAUAAAACUUUU